rnacentral:rRNA from 1 species
GGGCCCGCACAAGCAGUGGAGUAUGUGGUUUAAUUCGAAGCAACGCGAAGAACCUUACCAAGGCUUGACAUACAGUGGAAUACGGCAGAGAUGUCGUAGCUCUUCGGAGCUGCUGUACAGGUGGUGCAUGGUUGUCGUCAGCUCGUGUCGUGAGAUGUUGGGUUAAGUCCCGCAACGAGCGCAACCCCUGUUGUUAGUUGAUAACAUUAAGAUGAUCACUCUAACGAGACUGCCGGUGAUAAAUCGGAGGAAGGUGGGGACGACGUCAAAUCAUCAUGCCCCUUAUGUCUUGGGCUACACACGUACUACAAUGGCUAUUACAGAGGGAAGCUAAGCCGUAAGGUGGAGCAAAUCCCCAAAAAUAGUCCCAGUUCAGAUUGUGGGCUGAAACCCGCCCACAUGAAGUCGGAAUUGCUAGUAAUGGCAGGUCAGCAUACUGCCGUGAAUACGUUCCCGGGCCUUGUACACACCGCCCGUCACACCAUGAGAGUCUGCAACACCCGAAGUCGAUAGUCUAACCGCAAGGGGGACGUCGCCGAAGGUGGGGCCGAUGAUUGGGGUGAAGUCGUAACAAGGUAGCCGUAUCGGAAGGUGCGGCU